GGUGUUGUAUCUGAAGCUCUUUGGUUCUAUUUGUUUAACAAAUAUUAAUUGAGGACUUUCUAUGUGCCAAGCCCUGUUCUAGGCAUAGGAGACACAGCACUCACUUAGAAGACACAAUUUCAUGGGACUUUCAUUCUAUUUACUGCGUGUGGAGAAACAUCUCAGACUGACCUAGACAGAAGAGGACACGUGCAAGCUUAUAUGACUGAGACAACAAAGGGUACUCUUCAGGCAUGCUGGGAACCAGGAGCUAAGGGAAGUCUUCCACUUUUUUCUCUUAGGGUCUCUCAGUUCUGUUUCUCUCUUUUUUUUUUCUUUUCUUUCCUUCAUCAUCAGGCAGGCUAUUCCUGUGCAGUGACAAAAUGGAUGCCAGCAGCUCCAGGCUUAUGUUAACAAGCUGAGAGAGAGUCUUCCUUGCUGAAUGGGUCCAGCAAAAACCCCAAACUUAAUUCUCAUUGGCUGGAUUUGGUCACAUGGGCAUAUCCCUGAUCACAUGACUAAGGCCAGGAGACUGAGACAUUCUGAUUGGCUGGGCCUGGGGCACACACUCAGUCCUGCCCCAGCAAAUGGGGUCAUCACCAGGAGAACCAUAGGGAUUGAGAAUAGUCGUUUCUCAAGGAGCUCUCAUAAUCCUGGAGGAAAUCUGCCUCAUGCUGGAGUGGGCAGGAAGGGAAGAGCGCAGGAAAGGAAGAGCACAGGAAGGAGGGAGGCAGACGCUGCUGGGAGUUCCUGCUUCUCCAGUCUUGAGACUAAGACCCAGUUUCAGGCCUAUCAAUUAGUGUCAAGGGGAAAGGUAAAUCCUGCUCCAUCCAGGGCCAGAGGUAACCCCCCACCCCUUGCUCCACACCCCAGGGACAGGUACCAUGGGAAAGGAGGGAGGCAGGACCUCCCGCCCCUCUCAGGCUUCCUCAGAAGCCUUUGCCACCUAGGGACCCCUCCCUGCAUCCCCCUCCUAUGGUCUCCCAUUUGGGACCUUGGAAAGAAGAGGCUGUUGGAAUGCUUUAGGAGACAUGGCAUGUGUCCCAGCCCGAGCCAUCUUGAUAGCAAAACUGACACCAUAAUCCCAAUGCCUAAUUGCACACCUUCUCCCUCUCACCUUCCCAGCACAGUGAGGUUGCUGAGAAGAGAACAUGAACACAGAGGCUAAGAGUGAAUGGUUUUUGUUGCUGUUUUGGUUUUAUUUUGUUUUGAGAUGGGAGUCUUGCUUUGUUGCCCAGACUGAUCUUGAAUUCCUGGGCUUGAGUGAUCCUCCUGCCUCAGACACCUGAGUAGCUGAGAUUAAAAGUGUGCGCUGCUAUCACUGGCUGAGUGGAUGGUUUGGAUUCAAACUCUGUUGACAAAUACUCUCGGUUGCCUAUGUAAUAUAUCUCCCACUGCUUCACUCAGGCUACACCCCCUGCCACAUACAUCAUCACCACCAUCAUCAAAGAUCACUUCCUUGCAGUGACAGUAAACCCAGCUCCAAGCAAUGGACUAUGAUUGGUGUAAGCCAAGGAUCAGCAAACUAUGGCUUGAGUGCCAAGUCUGAAUGCCCCCUGUUCUUAUAUGGCACAUGAGCUAAAACGAUUUUUAACAUUUUUAUCAAAUGGUU
ensembl:lncRNA